CAGGAGCACACACCAUGAUUACACACAUCCAGCUGAUCUGGCCCCUGGCAUUCUGUGUCGCAGGUAUCAGUGGGGACAUCACCAUGACCCAGUCUCCCCCGGUGCUGUCAGUGGGACUGGGCCAGACCGCAACCAUCACCUGUACGGCCAGUCAAAGCAUUAGCAGCUCCCUUGCUUGGUACCAGCAGCGAGAAGGUCAGAAACCCUCUCUCCUGAUCUAUGCUGCAACAACUCGAUUCACAGGAGUCUCCGAGCGAUUCACCGGCAGUGGAUCAGGGACCAGUUUCACCCUGACAAUCAGCAACGUUCAGAAUGAGGAUGUGGCUGACUAUUACUGUCAGCAAGGUUACAGCUGGCCGCUUACGUUCGGUAAAGGAACCAAGCUCAGACUGAGCCGUGACAACUCUCAGCCCAAGCUGACCCUGCUGCCCCCCUCCCCGGAGCAGGUCAGUGCCAAGGGCACUGCCACCCUGGUGUGCCUUGCCAAUCACUUCUAUCCCGAUGAGCUGGAGGUGCAGUGGAAGAAGGACGGUGCAGUCAUUUCGGACGGGGGACUGUUCAGAGAACCUUCUGAGGUUUGGAUGUAA